AACGCACCUUGCGCUCCUUGGUAUUCCGAGGAGCAUGCCUGUUUGAGUGUCAUUAAAUUCUCAACCUUUAUCGGCUUUUGUUGAUAUUGGCUUGGAUGUGGGGGUUUCUUUUGCUGGCUUCGUUAAGAGGUCUGCUCCCCUCAAAUGUAUUAGCCGGUGCCCUCUGUGGACUGUCUAUUGGUGUGAUAAUUAUCUACGCCGUGGAUGUCUGCUUUAAAUGAGAAUGCGCUGCUUCUAACCGUCUGUUUCAUCGGACAAUAAAUGACAAUUUGGCCUCAAAUCAGGUAGGACUACCCGCUGAACUUAA
rnacentral:misc_RNA from 1 species